GUUGUACUCCCUCCGUCCAGAAAUACUUGUCGAAGAAAUGGAUAAAAAUGGAUGUAUCUAGAACCAAAAUACAUCUAGAUACAUCCAUUUCUCCGACAAGUAUUUAUGAACGGAGGAAGUACUAC
rfam:Triticum aestivum genome assembly, contig: Triticum_aestivum_CS42_TGACv1_scaffold_210935_3AS